rnacentral:rRNA from 1 species
UGGGGAAUAUUGGACAAUGGGCGAAAGCCUGAUCCAGUCAUGCCGCGUGAGUGAUGAAGGCCCUAGGGUUGUAAAGCUCUUUCGCCAGGGACGAUAAUGACGGUACCUGGAUAAGAAGCCCCGGCUAACUUCGUGCCAGCAGCCGCGGUAAUACGAAGGGGGCUAGCGUUGUUCGGAUUUACUGGGCGUAAAGCGCACGUAGGCGGAUUUUUAAGUCAGGGGUGAAAUCCCAAGGCUCAACCUUGGAACUGCCUUUGAUACUGGAAGUCUCGAGUCCGGGAGAGGUGAGUGGAACUGCGAGUGUAGAGGUGAAAUUCGUAGAUAUUCGCAAGAACACCAGUGGCGAAGGCGGCUCACUGGCCCGGUACUGACGCUGAGGUGCGAAAGCGUGGGGAGCAAACA